rnacentral:rRNA from 1 species
UACGUAGGGUGCAAGCGUUAAUCGGAAUUACUGGGCGUAAAGCGUGCGCAGGCGGUGAUGUAAGACAGGUGUGAAAUCCCCGGGCUUAACCUGGGAAUUGCAUUUGUGACUGCAUCGCUGGAGUGCGGCAGAGGGGGAUGGAAUUCCGCGUGUAGCAGUGAAAUGCGUAGAUAUGCGGAGGAACACCGAUGGCGAAGGCAAUCCCCUGGGCCUGCACUGACGCUCAUGCACGAAAGCGUGGGGAGCGAACAGG